CGUAUCAUCGGGUAAUGAUACGCUGGCCGCGGACUCGCGUCCUCAACUCGGCCCAGUCGUGCCCUUUUCCCCCACCGAUCCAACGGUGCCGCCGAGUCUCCGUCCGGUGCUUCUCCUCCCUCCCUCGCCUCUCCCCAGCCGUCCGUGUAUAUAUAGGUUUCCAUAACCCUUCCCAUCUCCCCUCUGCGAAGCUUCUUCCCCCUUUCUCCUCCCCUUCCCGUUCCCGGCGCCGCCCUCUGCCGCCUCCGAUGGAGCCCGCCGAUGAUUCCUCGGUUGUGUCCGAGACCUCUUCCGCAGAAGACUACGUCCACGUUUCGGAACCCGCCGCCGACGAGCCGGCUCCUAACCCUAACCUUGCGGCGCAAACCGUACUCGAUUCUGGCAUCCUUUCCGAGGCUUCGAGUGGUGGAGGAUCAGGAGGCGGCGAGGGGUCUGCGGAAGAAGGGGCAGCGGAGGGGAAGAAGGUUUUGCCGGAGGAUCUGGCGAAGGGCGUGCUGUUCUUGCAGUGCGAGUCGUCGGCUGAGGGGGGAUCCUGUGAUGUGUACCUUGUCGGGACGGCCCAUGUAUCUCAGGAGUCUUGCAAAGAAGUUCAGGCCAUCAUCAGUUACUUGAAACCUCAGGUUGUUUUUCUGGAGCUGUGCUCAAGCAGGGUUGCCAUUUUGACUCCUCAGAAUCUUCAGGUUCCCACUGUGAGUGAAAUGAUUGACAUGUGGAAGAAAAAGAAGAUGAAUACCUUUGGGAUUCUCUAUAGCUGGUUUCUUGCCAAGGUUGCUCACAAACUUGAAGUGUUCCCUGGCUCUGAAUUUCGAGUAGCAUUUGAAGAAGCAAUGAGUUAUGGAGGCAAAGUGAUACUGGGUGACCGUCCUGUUCAGAUUACUUUACGAAGAACAUGGGGGAAGAUGACACUGUGGCAUAGAGCAAAAUUCUUGUACUAUAUACUCUUCCAAACAAUCUUUUUACCUAGUUCUGAUGAUCUGAAUAAGAUGUUGAAGGAAAUGGAUGAUGUUGAUAUGUUGACCCUCUUCAUUCAAGAGAUGAGCAAGGCAUUCCCUACUCUGAUGGAGACACUUCUUCAUGAGCGUGAUAUGUACAUGUCAUCGACAUUAUUGAAGGUUGCAAGAGAACAUUCUUCAGUUGUUGCAGUUGUUGGCAAAGGGCAUUUAUCUGGAAUAAAGAAGAACUGGGAACAGCCCAUAGAGAUAAAGCGUCUGCUGGAGGUUCCGACACAAAGUGUCGGUCCAUCAAGAACAAAAAUUUUAGCAUCUGUUGGCGUCGCGCUGACUGGGGUUGCUACUGCUGUCUACCUUCUGGGCAGGAGGUGAAUGUGUGGAAGGGUCAAUCAUUUAGAGUUUUAGAUGAAAGAAAUGCACUUUAAGAGGGCUGACAAAUCAUGUGAUACAUACGUUCCAAACAGCAAGAAAAAAUGAUCCUUGCAUGGAGAUAUCUAGAAUCAGCUUGCUGAAGUUGUGUUACAAUUGAUUCUUGCUUAAGCUGUGUUAUACAUCUAAGAUUACCGGUGCACUA